rnacentral:rRNA from 1 species
UCCAGACUCCUAGGGAGGCAGCAGUGGGGAAUAUUGCACAAUGGGGGAAACCCUGACGCAGCAACGCCGCGUGAGUGAGGAAGUAUUUCGGUAUGUAAAGCUCUAUCAGCAGGGAAUAGAAAAGAAGGUACCUGAAAAAGAAGCCCCGGCUAACUACGUGCCAGCAGCCGCGGUAAUACGUAGGGGGCAAGCGUUAUCCGGAUUUACUGGGUGUAAAGGGAGCGUAGACGGCGAUGCAAGCCAGAUGUGAAAGCCCGGGGCUCAACCCCGGGACUGCAUUUGGAACUGUGUGGCUGGAGUGUCGGAGAGGCAGGCGGAAUUCCUAGUGUAGCGGUGAAAUGCGUAGAUAUUAGGAGGAACACCAGUGGCGAAGGCGGCCUGCUGGACGAUGACUGACGUUGAGGCUCGAAAGCGUGGGGAGCAAACAGGAUUAGAUACCCGUGUACG